CGUUCACAACAGGGGUGCUCCUUCGCAGGGGCUGAGAACAAACCCUUAUAACCUGAUCCGGGUAAUGCCGGCGAAGGGAGGUUUAUUCAAUAUUUU
rnacentral:ncRNA from 2 species